AUGUGUGUGUGUGUGUGUGUGUGUGUGUGUGUGUGUCAACGUCGGCUUGUGUCUGCAUGUGGAGGAAUAGCUGUCCUUAUCUGGCCUCCU